UGUAGAUGGUUAUUUUGGGUUGUGAGGGAUGGAGAGGGAUAGGGACGGGAUACCCCUCUCCAGUCGAUAGUGCUAGCUCUGAAUAAUUAUAGGCUCUUCAUUUCUUAAAGAAAGGCAAAGAGAAAGAAAAGAAAGAACAUUAUCCCUGGAUCUAUAGAUUCUACACAGCCCCUUUGUUUUUUCUUUUUCUAGUCAAAAGGGUUCUUUGUUCAAAUGAUUCCAGGGGUUCUGACUUUUAAUAACAAAGUUGUAAUCUUUACACCUGCAAAAGAUCAAAGUUUCGAUUUGUUCUAUUUGGGUUUAAAAGUUAGGGUUUUUAUGGUUGUGGAGAGAAAUCAAUCAGUGGGUUUCUGUCAAUGCUGAUUAAAACACUAAAUUUUCAGAAGAUUUGAAGAGAAGAAGUUGUUGGUGGUUUCAAUUUCUUGGCCUGGUUCUGAAGAUAUAUUCCUUUCUACUUCACUUGCUAGCUAUCUUGACAGUAUAAAUUGCAGAGAAGCUUCUUGUUUUGCUGAGAGAUGACCAGAAACUCAUGGGGAUACUUCGUUCUUUUGAUCAAUUCGGUCUGCUUUCUGUCUAUCUGUUGAUUUAUACAGCAAAUGUGGUACUUGAAGGUGCGUGCCUUUUGGGCCGGCGCAAAAGGCAGAAAGGGUUGCUAUAGAUUUGAAAAACAGUUUUGUGCACCCACUUUAUAGAGUAUAUCUUUAAGGUUUUAUAUUGCAUCAAAUACUCCACCCAUCACAAUGGUAGAAUCAUGCUGGUUGCGCAAAAUAACAGUCUGAGGUGGCCAUGGUGCUCUGAUUGGAAUAGCAAGAUAACCCGAUUUUAUCACACACUAUAGUCAUGAACAGUAUCAUAUUGUCAAUUCGUAACAGAAAGUAGUCCUUUUAUUUUCUUAAUGGUCCAGUUUGCAGUUUGUUUCUUAAAUGUGCACUCCUUUACAUUCCCGUGUAUAACUUGCAGAGAAGCUUCUUGUCUUGCUGAGAGAUGGCUGGAAACUCAUGGGGUAUUCGUUCUUUUGAUCUGCUUUUUUUCGUCUCUAUGUUGACUUAUGAAUUUGCGUCUUUUCUGCACUUUGGUAAUGGUAGCUAAUGGAACUUCGUUUUCUGUAUACAACAAGUGCGUCCUUGAAGGAGCUUGUGAACAAGUAACUUUUGGAGAUCUUUGCGUCGACAUUUCAUGAGGUCUUAAUGUGAUCCGCAGGGAAAAUGUUGUCUUAAUAGUCGAACUGAUUUAGAGAGGGAGGAACUUCCCCCCCACAUGACUCGGUGUUCACCUGCCGAGAUAAAAAAGAGCGCAAAAAGCAGAAAGGGAUGCCACAGAAUUGAAAGGCUCCAUGAGAAAAAGAAUGUAGUUUCUGGAUAUGGACUGAAUUCAAGCUAUAUAUCACCCGCAAAUAUUAUCGCGGCUGAUUCUUGCUGGUUAAAGUUGCUUAAAUGUGGCCAUUUUACUCGUCUUUUAGCUGUUCAAAUUUAUCUGUGGCAACCACAAAUUUACUGUAUGCCAUAUACAAUUUGUAGCUCAUGGAAGUUGUGGUUUGCUUCUUGACCCUGGAUUUCAUCUAGUGGUUACUAACCUUAGUUCCAUUCACACAGGAUGCAGCCGUUUGUUAAUGAAGUUUUAAUGGGUUGAUCCCAGUGUCACUGGGGGUGAACAUGGUCUGGAUUCAACCGGUUUUAGCAUCAUCAGCAUCCAGUCCUAUGCAUGACGGACUUGUUUUAGUGUUGUUUGUCUAAAAUUCAACGUAGACAAAUUUCACCCAAAACACAAGCCAUGAAUACCUAAUCAGGAUAUGGUUUGACUAGUAAGCAGAUAUGAUCAGUUAUUUUUGGUGAUCGAUUAUUUCAUGUGAUCUUAUGUGGGAAGAAAUUUCUGGGUGUUGCAUGUAUGCUCUUUGUUGAAUCUUCACCAUCCCAGAGGUGUUGAUGCUGCUGUUGUUUUUCAAAGUUGUGGAUCUCUAGGUUAGUUUGCACAAACAGAUGUUCUUCCGUCCCUCUUCUGGCACUGAUGGUGAUCCUAACUUCUGGUGGUGGUCAUACCUACUAGUGGUGCUGCUGUUGGAUUUCCUUGAUUCGGUGGUGAAAAGACUUGCUUCUUUCGGCGAUCGUCUGAUGUUGUUGGUGUUGCUCCAUACCGAUGAAGUGGUGUCAGGUUCGGGUUAUGGAAUGCCAGUUUCCGGGUGGGUCUAAUUCUCUUGGGCUUGGGCUUUGGCUGCCUUUGUAUAUGUUCUUGUAUAUGCCUUAUCCGUUUCUGUUUGUUUAUAAGUUGGCUUUUGUUGCCGUGUUGUUGUUAGUCUGUUAUGUUGUUUGUAAACUGUUUUUGUUGCCUCCACUUCUUUCAGUGGAAUCGAUUCUGAGAGUCGGUUCCUUGUGUAUCGGGUUGGCUUCUUUAGUUGUGUGCAUUAUAGAUGUUAGCUGUC